rnacentral:rRNA from 1 species
AGAGUUUGAUCCUGGCUCAGGACGAACGCUGGCGGCACGCUUAACACAUGCAAGUCGAACGAGAGAAGAGGAGCUUGCUUUUCUGAUCUAGUGGCGGACGGGUGAGUAACACGUGAGCAAUCUGCCUUUCAGAGGGGGAUACCGAUUGGAAACGAUCGUUAAUACCGCAUAACAUAAUUGAACCGCAUGAUUUGAUUAUCAAAGAUUUAUCGCUGAAAGAUGAGCUCGCGUCUGAUUAGCUAGUUGGUAAGGUAACGGCUUACCAAGGCGACGACCAGUAGCCGGACUGAGAGGUUGAUCGGCCACAUUGGGACUGAGACACGGCCCAGACUCCUACGGGAGGCAGCAGUGGGGAAUAUUGCACAAUGGAGGAAACUCUGAUGCAGCGAUGCCGCGUGAGGGAAGAAGGUUUUAGGAUUGUAAACCUCUGUCUUCAGGGACGAAAAAAGACGGUACCUGAGGAGGAAGCUCCGGCUAACUACGUGCCAGCAGCCGCGGUAAUACGUAGGGAGCGAGCGUUGUCCGGAAUUACUGGGUGUAAAGGGAGCGUAGGCGGGAUCGCAAGUCAGAUGUGAAAACUAUGGGCUUAACCCAUAAACUGCAUUUGAAACUGUGGUUCUUGAGUGAAGUAGAGGUAAGCGGAAUUCCUAGUGUAGCGGUGAAAUGCGUAGAUAUUAGGAGGAACAUCAGUGGCGAAGGCGGCUUACUGGGCUUUAACUGACGCUGAGGCUCGAAAGCGUGGGGAGCAAACAGGAUUAGAUACCCUGGUAGUCCACGCCGUAAACGAUGAUUACUAGGUGUGGGGGGACUGACCCCUUCCGUGCCGCAGCAAACGCAAUAAGUAAUCCACCUGGGGAGUACGACCGCAAGGUUGAAACUCAAAGGAAUUGACGGGGGCCCGCACAAGCAGUGGAGUAUGUGGAUUAAUUCGAAGCAACGCGAAGAACCUUACCAGGUCUUGACAUCGUAUGCAUAGCUCAGAGAUGAGUGAAAUCUCUUCGGAGACAUAUAGACAGGUGGUGCAUGGUUGUCGUCAGCUCGUGACGUGAGAUGUUGGGUUAAGUCCCGCAACGAGCACAACCCCUAUUACCAGUUACCAGCGAGUAAAGUCGGGGACUCUGGUGAGACUGCCGGGGACAACUCGGAGGAAGGUGGGGACGACGUCAAAUCAUCAUGCCCCUUACGUCUUGGGCUACACACGUGCUACAAUGGCUGCAACAAAGGGAAGCGACAUCGUAAGAUGAAGCGGAUCUCAUAAAAACAGUCCCAGUUCGGAUUGUGGGCUGCAACCCGCCCACACGAAGUCGGAGUUGCUAGUAAUCGCGGAUCAGAAUGCCGCGGUGAAUACGUUCCCGGGCCUUGUACACACCGCCCGUCACACCAUGGGAGUUGGGAGUGCCCGAAGUCAGUAUCCUAACCGCAAGGAGGGAGCUGCCUAAGGCAAGACCAAUGACUGGGGUGAAGUCGUAACAAGGUA